UUCCCAUAAAGGACGGUACACCAAUUCUUAUCUGUCACCUCCCUUGGAAUUUUCUCGUCCAUUAAAAAACCCAACUAAAAUAUCAACAACCGACUUAAAUACGUUGGCAACCAUCUCACCGUCCAAUCGGCAUCUAUAAUUCUAAUCUCAGCCGUUGAUUCUAUCCUCGACUUUCAAUAAAGUCUCUCCCCUCUGCCGUUCAUAUCCCUCAUUCAUUCAUCCUCUAUCUCUUCAAUAUUCCCUCUUCUCUGUAAAACUCUGAAUUUCUCAGAUCUACGUUUCCGAGCUCGGAAUUAUGGAUUUCUUUCAUUCGAUUCGAACAAAUCGUUCGACGAUCUAUCAUUCGACGUCGAUUUCUUCGUUGUUCAUCGGUGGAUGAUGUCUCAAAUUUGAUCAAUCUGCUAAUUUCAAGCGGAGAUGCUGUUUGAUCUGUGUUCUUCCGUCAACGGAGGGGAACCGUGGAGAUCUUAUGGAUACGAGAACGGAUUAAUGAUUUUAUUUGAAUUGAUGGUUCCCGGUUGAAGGUUUCGCAUUAUGUAGCCAUCUGUUAACUGGAGAUUUCGUCGAAUUGUUACCUUUCAUUUGACCGAGGUUCUAUGAAGCAAAAGUGGGAUAUGCAAGUGGAUGUGGAUCUACACUUGUUGAAGCGACACAAACAUGGUGCUUGUAUAAAAUUUGGAAAGUGAUGUUAAUUAGAUUUGAAUCUGGUAGGAUUCAUUUCUGUGUGCGAGGUGAGCGGAAAAAAAUGUGAGUGAAAGUAUCGGACCUUUGCCAUGUCGGGUGCGCUUGCUUGGCAGGUCAACCUACUUAAUAAAAAAGAAACGUUUUUGUGUUUGUAGGGGAAGUAGGCACGGGGUUUUUGCCCAGCUCUUCCCCUCUGUGUGUGCUUGCGUCUCUUUUCCCUCCUCACCCUCUCUCCCCCUCUUUCUACGCCCGUUUCGAUUAUUAGACAUUCGCUCAUUCACAGCUCUGGCUUAUCAUCAUACGCUUCAAUCGACUUCCUCCAGCAUUCGGAACAACGUUUUGCAAGGUAUAUUCUUAUCGCUAAUACUCCGUUUCAAUUUCAAUUUGCAGUUGAUUCAUCAUAUUAACAUGUUGUCCUUUAAUUUACACUAAUAAGUCCCAUCUGUUCAGUUCACAUCAGAAUAAUAUCAAUUCAUAUACGCAGUAACAAAUCGAAGACUGUAGUAGAGUAUAAAAUAUGAGCAACUAUUACAUGGUAAACUAAUAUGAUACAAGCGGAUCCCAAUGGGUAGUUUAUAAUGUAUAACAACUAGAUUACAUGGUAACGUACCCAUCUAUUUACGGCUAGGUUUCGAAUAAUAUCCAUCUGCUAACGAUAGGGUAUAAUGUAAAUUUAGCCUCUAUACAACCAUCCGCUUCAUUGUUAUAACAUGGUAACCUUAUAUUAACAAUUAUUUUAACAUUUUAAAUCACUUUCUAAACCUCAUUACAUAGUACAACUAGCUUUCUCGUUGGUGCAAUUCCAAUAUCAAUGCGUCCAUCAGUACCGUUAGUGUUCUCUUUCAGUUUGUGUUUCUAACAUCAUUUAACCAUCAUUUGUCGUCUCUUGCUGCAUUCAAAUCUGUUGGAACCUUUAUGUUCUAAUGGAGUUUUAUCAAUUAUGGAUUACAAUUUUUUUAUAUAACCAAUCUUUCGACAAUAUCUCAGGAGUGCUAUAUUGACAAUGUUGUCGAUGAUAUGCCUUUGAGAAUAUCUGUUGUAAGUAGUUGUAUUAUGUAUACAAUGUUAGUUUAGUAGUCUAUGUAGUAUGAUAAUGUAUGUAGAUUAGCAGUCAGCGGCUUCAAUUGAGUAGUACCUUUGAUCGUGGGAUGCUUUUUGUAAUGUUCCUCAAUUGUGCGAGUUAUACACUGGUUCGUGGAAGAUGGUGCAGCAGGUGAGGCAGCGGAAGAUAGCCAUGGUGAAGGCCGUGGUGGUGAGUUGAACAUGGUUGUGAUACAUGGGUUUCAUUUAUCAAACUAUGAUCAUUGAGAAUUUCUUCCCCUUUUGUUGUGGUAUUUCUUCUGAUUGUAGUUUACAAUUCUCAAGCGUGUGUGAUCUGGAAAUACAUUUCCUGUAAAUGUCUAUUUGAUUCGUUGAGGUGGUGCUCCAUCUGUUGAAGCGCGGAGCGGAAGACAGAGUAUAAUAUGUUCUUUUCAGAUAAAUUAUACACAGCAUAUUUUUUGAGUUGACAAUUCACUGGAUAAGUUUCUCUUUCUCCUUUUCCUCUUGAACUAACUUCAAUAUGGUAGUGUUUUUAGUA